rnacentral:rRNA from 1 species
AUUGAACGCUGGCGGCAGGCUUAACACAUGCAAGUCGAGCGAGCGGCGGACGGGUGAGUAAUGUCUGGGAAACUGCCUGAUGGAGGGGGAUAACUACUGGAAACGGUAGCUAAUACCGCAUACCAUCAGAUGUGCCCAGAUGGGAUUAGCUAGUAGGUGGGGUAAUGGCUCACCUAGGCGACGAUCCCUAGCUGGUCUGAGAGGAUGACCAGCCACGCUGGAACUGAAAAAGGGUCCAGACUCCUACGGGAGGCAGCAGUGGGGAAGAUUGCACAAUGGGAGGAAGCCUGAUGCAGCCAUGCCGCGUGUGUGAAGAAGGCCUUCGGGUUGUAAGGCACUUUCAGCGAGGAGGCGUUACUGGAAGAAGAAGCACCGGCUAAAUCCGUGCCAGCAGCCGCGGUAAUUC